rnacentral:rRNA from 1 species
CAAUAGCGUAUAUUAAAGUUGUUGCAGUUAAAAAGCUCGUAGUUGAACUUCGGGCGUGGUGGUCCGGUCUGCCUAUGGUACGAACUGGUAUCCGCUGCGUCUUUCCUGGUAAGGGCUUGCGCUGCUCUUAACUGAGUGGUGUAUUGUUCGUUUACCUCAUUUACUGUGAACAAAUUAGAGUGUUUAAAGCAGGCGUUUGCUUGAAUACAUUAGCAUGGAAUAAUGGAAUAGGACUUUGGUUCUAUUUUGUUGGUUUCUAGGACUGAAGUAAUGAUUAAUAGGGAUAGUUGGGGGCAUUCAUAUUUAAUUGUCAGAGGUGAAAUUCUUGGAUUUAUGAAAGAUGAACUUCUGCGAAAGCAUUUGCCAAGGAUGUUUUCAUUAA